CUUCCUGUUAACUGGUUACCCAACCAAAAUCCGCCGCUUUAACUGUUUAUUUAGGCGAUUGUCACUUCACUUGUCAUUUGCGCUUCCCUAUAUCAAUGGCGACCCCGUACGAGAAACCUGAAUCAAUUAACCCUAGCUAUGGAGACGAUGAGGACGAGGACGAGGACGAGGUCGAAGACCUAGACGGAGAAUCCGAACCGGCCCCACCGAGCGAGCAGAUGGUAAAAUUGUUUAGCCGGAUGCAAAGAGACACAGUUCCACUACGCGUGCACGAUGUGAUUGUGAAAGGAAACACGAAGACGAAGGAGUUUUUAAUCGAAGCGGAACUUGACGCGCUCAAGAAUGCCACGUCAAUGCAAGAGAUAAUCCGGGCGGCCAGUAUUGUUAAUUAUAAACUGCGAGAGCUCGAGUGCUUUGAUUCGGUCGCCAUCACGGUCGAUGCUGGUCCACCGGAGCUUCCGGGUACGGCAAAUGUGAUCAUCGAAGUUGUUGAAACAAAAAGUCCACUUUCUGGUCAAAUCGGAACUUUCUCCAAGGGAGAGGCCAAAUCUUCAUCAGUUGAAGGAUCUCUCAAGUACAAAAACUUUCUUGGUUAUGGUGAUUUGUGGGAUGCUUCUUUGGCAUAUGGCUUUGAUUGCUCAGCAGAGGUAAGUGCUGGUGUGUAUAUUCCCAGAUUUAAAGGUCUAGUGAGUCCUUUGACUGCACGGGUAUCAUUACUAUCCCAAGACUGGCUGAAAUUUUCUUCUUACAAAGAAAAAUCAUUGGGGCUGUCACUCGGCUUAUUUUCAUCUAAGUAUCAUGACUUGGGAUACAAUCUUGCAUGGAGGACCUUGAUAGAUCCAUCACAAAUGUCGUCCAGGUCCAUAAGAAGGCAGCUAGGACAUGAUUUUCUUUCAUCUUUAAAAUAUACAUUUAGGUUUGACAAGAGAAAUUCUCAUCUGAGGCCAACUCGAGGAUAUGCUUUUGUUUCAACCAUGCAAAUUGGCGGCCUUGCACCGGAUAAUCGGACCCUGAGAUUUUUGCGACAGGAGCUUGAUCUUCGUUUUUCUGUCCCAUUUGGAUUUUAUCAUACUGCCCUAAAUUUUGGGGUAUCCAGUGGUGUUCUUCUCCCACUUGGAAGAGGAUUCUUGAGCAUGUCUUCUUCCAUACCUGAGAGAUUCUUUCUGGGUGGUAAUUUAUCUCCAGUUUGCCAUUUAGGAGGGCCAUUGGCAUUUUGGGGGUUUAAAACUAGGGGACUGGGUCCUUCUGAGCCAAGAAGGCAAAUGACAGGCAAUUCCUCUGAUGAGAAUGCAGACCCUGCUGAAAGGGAUUUUCUUGGAGGAGACCUGGCUGUUUCUGCCUUUGCAGAUCUUUCUUUUGAUCUUCCUUUGAGGUGGUUUAGAGAAAAAGGAAUUCAUGGACAUUUGUUUGCAUGUGCUGGGAGUGUUGCCAAGUUAACAGAGAAUGAGUACCGGAAUUUCUCUUUGCCAAAGUUUUUGGAUUCUUUUCGAAGUUCUUUAGGUGGUGGCAUUGUUUUUCCCACAAAUCUAUUCCGCCUAGAGGUUAACUAUUGCUACAUACUGAAAAAGUUUGAUCAUGACCAUGGGAAAAGUGGCCUUCAGAUUAGCAUAUCUGCUCCAUCCUAGAAAUCUUUGGCAAAAGCCUGUCAUUUCAGAGUCGCCGGAGAGGAUGAACCGCCGCAGGAAACAAUUAUGGGUUUACAAUUAUGGAUUUGUUUUGAGCCAAGGUGGGUUUCUCCAGUUUCGGCCCGGUAUCUAAAAGACGGAAAUAUCCUGAACUCCACUUUUCGUUCCAUAUUAAUAUAACAUGAUCCCUUCGAGUAAAAAGACGAACAGGCAAUAGCAGGCAAAUCUUCCUGUGGCUCAGAAUAAGUAAUGGAGAAAGGAAAGAAAAGUGGCAAAUCUUCUCUCAAAUGAUUGUGAGAUUGAGAGCAGCAUCAGUUGAGUGAUCUAAGGAGUGCGUCAGCCUUUCUGCAAGCUUUCACAGACCCAUCAGCAGCCAAGCUUUGAAGUGAAGGCCUGCUCCAAGGAUUUAUUAAUAAACGUCUUGCUACCUCUUCUCCUCCAUCCUUGCACAGUCCUAACAGGAGAGUUAUUGAGUUAUACUCUGCUUUUCCUUAUCUCCUACCGCCCCUGGGAGCAACCUUGAAGUAAAGCUAGUAUCUCUUGAGGGCAUCAUCAGUUAUACCCUGCCUUGUCAUCCAUUAACAGGUCAAUGAGCUGAGGAACUGCUCUUGCCAUAAGAAUACUAUCCUUUUUAGGAUUAUAUACUGCAAGAUUGAAAAAUGCAGUUGCAGCAUCUUUUUUUCCAGUUGUUAUGCCUUCUUUCGGGAGCCCAAGUAGGGCUGGGACUGCUUUAGCAUGUGCUCCAAUUGAAGCCUUGUAAUCAUCUAUCAUCGACAGGCUAUGUAUGGCUGCUGCUGCAAUUCCAGAACAUCUAUGAUGUUAUCCAUUGCUCCAGUGGCCACUAUUAAGAUCUUAUUGUUGUCGAAAAUUGAGAGAUUGAGAUAGUGACAGCAUUUUCUUGUAUUCUGGAUCAUGGGAAUUUAGUACUGUCACAAGGAAUGGAAUGGCUUCUCCCUUAGCAAUUAUACUUGUGUUGUCAAUACCGGUUCUUGCAAGUAAUCAUAGCUCAUAAGCAGGCUGCCUCCGAAUGUCUACUGAGCCUGUUGCUAGUUUUCCCAUCAAAAACUGAGCUGUCAUUUUUACAGCCUCCAUGGCAACUUUGGUAGCAGAAAUGUGAUCAUACCAAACAAACAAGGUUAUUGUGUUCAUUCAUCA